CUUGAACUGACCAGCAACCAACUGCAGACGGAAACUGGGGGGAACAAGAAGGAAGAAGCCGAGGGGCGAAAGCGUUACUAAGAGUCGAUGAUAAAAAAUAGCUUAGUAACCCACCAAGGAAAUAAAGAGAUAAUUUCCAAGGAGCUAGAGAGAAUCUCACUUUAGACCCCUUCGAACUUCGAACUAAAAGA
rnacentral:ncRNA from 1 species